UGGGGAAUAUUGGGCAAUGGAGGAAACUCUGACCCAGCAACGCCGCGUGAGGGAUGAAGGCCUUCGGGUUGUAAACCUCUGUCCUGUGGGACGAAAUCAAUGACGGUACCACAGGAGGAAGCUCCGGCUAACUACGUGCCAGCAGCCGCGGUAAUACGUAGGGAGCAAGCGUUGUCCGGAAUUACUGGGCGUAAAGGGUGCGUAGGCGGCCUUUUAAGUCAGAUGUGAAAGACCGGGGCUUAACCCCGGGAUUGCAUUUGAAACUGGGAGGCUUGAGUGCAGGAGAGGUAAGUGGAAUUCCUAGUGUAGCGGUGAAAUGCGUAGAUAUUAGGAGGAACACCAGUGGCGAAGGCGGCUUACUGGACUGCAACUGACGCUGAGGCACGAAAGCGUGGGGAGCAAACAGG
rnacentral:rRNA from 1 species